CUGGCAGCUGAGGAAGGGAACUGCUCCUUAUGAGGUUGAAUAUGAGGAGGAGCUGUAUGUGGCUGGAAACAUGGUCAUAUGGAGUCGUGGCAGUAAGAAUCAAGCCUCAUACGUGUACAAGGCCUUCACGGUGGACAGCCCAGUUCAGCAGGCUCUAUGGUGUAAUUUCACCAUCCCCCAGUCUAAAAAAGAUGUAAAGGAUGUUGUGGAGAAGACGGUGUGUAUCGUCCAGAGCACCUGUGUGAAUGUCCACAGCGUGAGUGGGAAAGACUUCAUAUCUCCACUCCCAUUC